CUGAGUCGCCACCAGACGAGCUGAUGGCAACUGGAGACGAACCUCCUCAGAUGACCUUAAUGUGCGGUGGGGAUCACGCAGAAGAAGGCGCUCUCUAAGUAAACAGACAGGCACAGCCAGGAGGGAACACGCAUAGCAUGUGGAGGACGCACGCAAGACAACAACACUCCGCAAUUGGAGCAGCAAGGCUUUGCAUGUUGUUGUUGCCCCCUCCUCGCCCACACAGCUUUGAAGAGUAACGGAUGAUGAUGGCAGAUAAGAAGAGAAUGGCAGCACGCACGUGUCUCUGGACAUUUCUUUUCCUGUCUGACUCUGUGGCAUGAGAUCGCCGCAUCUAUGUAUGGGCAAGCACAAUCUUCAAAUAAAAUGCUGUCAAUCAA